rnacentral:rRNA from 1 species
UCGAGAAUCUUUCACAAUGGGGGCAACCCUGAUGGAGCGACGCCGCGUGGAGGAUAAGGUCUUCGGAUUGUAAACUCCUGUCAUGCGCGAACAAGGUUGCAGGGAUAAUACCUUUGCAAAUUGAUGGUACCGCAAGAGGAAGAGACGGCUAACUCUGUGCCAGCAGCCGCGGUAAUACAGAGGUCUCAAGCGUUGUUCGGAAUCACUGGGCGUAAAGGGUGCGUAGGUGGCGUGGUAAGUCAGAUGUGAAAGCCCGGGGCUCAACCUCGGAAUUGCAUCCGAUACUACCAUGCUUGAGUACUGAAGAGGAAACUAGAAUUCUCGGUGUAGCAGUGAAAUGCGUAGAUAUCGAGAGGAAUACCAAAGGCGAAGGCAGGUUUCUUGGCAGUUACUGACACUG